GAACGAGAAAGGGGAGCAAUCCCUGAGUAAAGUGGCGUACGGGUGAGUAACACGUGGGUAAUUUACCUCUGGGGGGGAAUAACUCUGGGAAACCGGAGCUAAUACCGCAUAAGCCCGCAAGGGGAAAGGCGAAAGUCGCCGAGAGAGGAGCCCGCGGCCGAUUAGCUAGUUGGUGGGGUAAAAGCUCACCAAGGCUGAGAUCGGUAGCCGGCCUGAGAGGGCACACGGCCACACUGGCACUGAAACACGGGCCAGACUCCUACGGGAGGCAGCAGUGGGGAAUCUUGCACAAUGGGGGAAACCCUGAUGCAGCGACGCCGCGUGAGCGAUGAAGCCCUUCGGGGUGUAAAGCUUUUUCGGCAGGGACGAUAAUGACGGUACCUGCAGAAGAAGCUGCGGCUAACUACGUGCCAGCAGCCGCGGUAAUACGUAGGCAGCGAGCGUUGUUCGGAGUUACUGGGCGUAAAGCGUGCGUAGGCGGUGGUCCAAGUCUGGUGUGAAAUCUCCCGGCUUAACUGGGAGGGUGCGCCGGAAACUGGGCCGCUUGAGUGUGGGAGAGGUAAGCGGAAUUCCCGGUGUA
rnacentral:rRNA from 1 species